rnacentral:rRNA from 1 species
CCUACGGGUGGCUGCAGUGAGGAAUAUUGGUCAAUGGUCGGGAGACUGAACCAGCCAAGCCGCGUGAGGGAUGAAGGUACAGAGUAUCGUAAACCCUUUUGGUCAGGGAACAAAUGCGGGGACGUAUCCCCGGAGGAGUGUACCUGAAGAUAAAGCAUCGCCUAACCCGGCGCCAGCAGCCGCGGUAAUACGGAGGAGGCGGGCGUUAUCCGGAUGUAUGGGGUUUAAAGGGUCAGCAGGGGGUCUGUAAAGUCUGCGGGAAAAGCCAGGGGUGAAACCCCUGACCGCAGUUGAAACUGGCAGUCUCGAGUUGGAGAGAGGUAUGCGGAAUGCGCGGUGUAGCGGUGAAAUGCGUAGAUAUCGCGCAGAACUCCGAUUGCGAAGGCGGCAUGCCGGCUCCACACUGACGCUGAGGCACGAAAGCGUGGGUAUCGAACAGGAUUAGAUACCCCUGUAGUC